CAAAGUGGAAAGGAAUUUAAAAAAAUCAUCAAGUGCUUAUUUAUGCAGCAGAGUCAGAGCGCGCUAUGGAAGUGAAUUCACAGACGUAUGCGGAGCUGUCGGGCAUAGUAACCACGACGCAUCUAUGUCAGCUUCUGGUUUAAUUGUUCACCUCCUAUGCCUGAAGAACUGGUUCUCAACCCAGUUAAUGCAAUAACAGCUUCUUCCAAGCCAUUGAAAACAUGCACUUUGUUGGGUCCACCACCUGUUGCGCUUGCUCCUGCCUUCGGACGCGCUUACGGUUAAUAUCCCUUACUAAGUAUAAGUCUCCUUUCUGUAUUGCCGGAGAAGAAGUGCUUCCGCAUUUCAAAGGCAUGCAACAUUUCUUAUAUUAUUAAUAAACUAUUGUUCGCAAAUUUGAAACAUUUAUUUUAAAUGAAAGUUUAAUCCUUUGAUUA